rnacentral:rRNA from 1 species
UUAAGCGACUAAGCGUACACGGUGGAUGCCCUGGCAGUCAGAGGCGAUGAAGGACGUGCUAAUCUGCGAUAAGCGUCGGUAAGGUGAUAUGAACCGUUAUAACCGGCGAUUUCCGAAUGGGGAAACCCAGUGUGUUUCGACACACUAUCAUUAACUGAAUCCAUAGGUUAAUGAGGCGAACCGGGGGAACUGAAACAUCUAAGUACCCCGAGGAAAAGAAAUCAACCGAGAUUCCCCCAGUAGCGGCGAGCGAACGGGGAGGAGCCCAGAGCCUGAAUCAGUGUGUGUGUUAGUGGAAGCGUCUGGAAAGGCGCGCGAUACAGGGUGACAGCCCCGUACACAAAAAUGCACAUGCUGUGAGCUCGAUGAGUAGGGCGGGACACGUGGUAUCCUGUCUGAAUAUGGGGGGACCAUCCUCCAAGGCUAAAUACUCCUGACUGACCGAUAGUGAACCAGUACCGUGAGGGAAAGGCGAAAAGAACCCCGGCGAGGGGAGUGAAAAAGAACCUGAAACCGUGUACGUACAAGCAGUGGGAGCACGCUUAGGCGUGUGACUGCGUACCUUUUGUAUAAUGGGUCAGCGACUUAUAUUCUGUAGCAAGGUUAACCGAAUAGGGGAGCCGAAGGGAAACCGAGUCUUAACUGGGCGUUAAGUUGCAGGGUAUAGACCCGAAACCCGGUGAUCUAGCCAUGGGCAGGUUGAAGGUUGGGUAACACUAACUGGAGGACCGAACCGACUAAUGUUGAAAAAUUAGCGGAUGACUUGUGGCUGGGGGUGAAAGGCCAAUCAAACCGGGAGAUAGCUGGUUCUCCCCGAAAGCUAUUUAGGUAGCGCCUCGUGAAUUCAUCUCCGGGGGUAGAGCACUGUUUCGGCAAGGGGGUCAUCCCGACUUACCAACCCGAUGCAAACUGCGAAUACCGGAGAAUGUUAUCACGGGAGACACACGGCGGGUGCUAACGUCCGUCGUGAAGAGGGAAACAACCCAGACCGCCAGCUAAGGUCCCAAAGUCAUGGUUAAGUGGGAAACGAUGUGGGAAGGCCCAGACAGCCAGGAUGUUGGCUUAGAAGCAGCCAUCAUUUAAAGAAAGCGUAAUAGCUCACUGGUCGAGUCGGCCUGCGCGGAAGAUGUAACGGGGCUAAACCAUGCACCGAAGCUGCGGCAGCGACGCUUAUGCGUUGUUGGGUAGGGGAGCGUUCUGUAAGCCUGUGAAGGUGUGCUGUGAGGCAUGCUGGAGGUAUCAGAAGUGCGAAUGCUGACAUAAGUAACGAUAAAGCGGGUGAAAAGCCCGCUCGCCGGAAGACCAAGGGUUCCUGUCCAACGUUAAUCGGGGCAGGGUGAGUCGACCCCUAAGGCGAGGCCGAAAGGCGUAGUCGAUGGGAAACAGGUUAAUAUUCCUGUACUUGGUGUUACUGCGAAGGGGGGACGGAGAAGGCUAUGUUGGCCGGGCGACGGUUGUCCCGGUUUAAGCGUGUAGGCUGGUUUUCCAGGCAAAUCCGGAAAAUCAAGGCUGAGGCGUGAUGACGAGGCACUACGGUGCUGAAGCAACAAAUGCCCUGCUUCCAGGAAAAGCCUCUAAGCAUCAGGUAACAUCAAAUCGUACCCCAAACCGACACAGGUGGUCAGGUAGAGAAUACCAAGGCGCUUGAGAGAACUCGGGUGAAGGAACUAGGCAAAAUGGUGCCGUAACUUCGGGAGAAGGCACGCUGAUAUGUAGGUGAAGUCCCUCGCGGAUGGAGCUGAAAUCAGUCGAAGAUACCAGCUGGCUGCAACUGUUUAUUAAAAACACAGCACUGUGCAAACACGAAAGUGGACGUAUACGGUGUGACGCCUGCCCGGUGCCGGAAGGUUAAUUGAUGGGGUCAGCGCAAGCGAAGCUCUUGAUCGAAGCCCCGGUAAACGGCGGCCGUAACUAUAACGGUCCUAAGGUAGCGAAAUUCCUUGUCGGGUAAGUUCCGACCUGCACGAAUGGCGUAAUGAUGGCCAGGCUGUCUCCACCCGAGACUCAGUGAAAUUGAACUCGCUGUGAAGAUGCAGUGUACCCGCGGCAAGACGGAAAGACCCCGUGAACCUUUACUAUAGCUUGACACUGAACAUUGAGCCUUGAUGUGUAGGAUAGGUGGGAGGCUUAGAAGUGUGGACGCCAGUCUGCAUGGAGCCGACCUUGAAAUACCACCCUUUAAUGUUUGAUGUUCUAACGUUGACCCGUAAUCCGGGUUGCGGACAGUGUCUGGUGGGUAGUUUGACUGGGGCGGUCUCCUCCUAAAGAGUAACGGAGGAGCACGAAGGUUGGCUAAUCCUGGUCGGACAUCAGGAGGUUAGUGCAAUGGCAUAAGCCAGCUUGACUGCGAGCGUGACGGCGCGAGCAGGUGCGAAAGCAGGUCAUAGUGAUCCGGUGGUUCUGAAUGGAAGGGCCAUCGCUCAACGGAUAAAAGGUACUCCGGGGAUAACAGGCUGAUACCGCCCAAGAGUUCAUAUCGACGGCGGUGUUUGGCACCUCGAUGUCGGCUCAUCACAUCCUGGGGCUGAAGUAGGUCCCAAGGGUAUGGCUGUUCGCCAUUUAAAGUGGUACGCGAGCUGGGUUUAGAACGUCGUGAGACAGUUCGGUCCCUAUCUGCCGUGGGCGCUGGAGAACUGAGGGGGGCUGCUCCUAGUACGAGAGGACCGGAGUGGACGCAUCACUGGUGUUCGGGUUGUCAUGCCAAUGGCACUGCCCGGUAGCUAAAUGCGGAAAAGAUAAGUGCUGAAAGCAUCUAAGCACGAAACUUGCCCCGAGAUGAGUUCUCCCUGACCCUUUAAGGGUCCUGAAGGAACGUUGAAGACGACGACGUUGAUAGGCCGGGUGUGUAAGCGCAGCGAUGCGUUGAGCUAACCGGUACUAAUGAACCGUGAGGCUUAACCUU